rnacentral:rRNA from 1 species
GCAGUCGAGCGGAACGAGUUAUCUGAACCUUCGGGGAACGAUAACGGCGUCGAGCGGCGGACGGGUGAGUAAUGCCUAGGAAAUUGCCCUGAUGUGGGGGAUAACCAUUGGAAACGAUGGCUAAUACCGCAUGAUGCCUACGGGCCAAAGAGGGGGACCUUCGGGCCUCUCGCGUCAGGAUAUGCCUAGGUGGGAUUAGCUAGUUGGUGAGGUAAGGGCUCACCAAGGCGACGAUCCCUAGCUGGUCUGAGAGGAUGAUCAGCCACACUGGAACUGAGACACGGUCCAGACUCCUACGGGAGGCAGCAGUGGGGAAUAUUGCACAAUGGGCGCAAGCCUGAUGCAGCCAUGCCGCGUGUGUGAAGAAGGCCUUCGGGUUGUAAAGCACUUUCAGUCGUGAGGAAGGUAGUGUAGUUAAUAGCUGCAUUAUUUGACGUUAGCGACAGAAGAAGCACCGGCUAACUCCGUGCCAGCAGCCGCGGUAAUACGGAGGGUGCGAGCGUUAAUCGGAAUUACUGGGCGUAAAGCGCAUGCAGGUGGUUUGUUAAGUCAGAUGUGAAAGCCCGGGGCUCAACCUCGGAAUAGCAUUUGAAACUGGCAGACUAGAGUACUGUAGAGGGGGGUAGAAUUUCAGGUGUAGCGGUGAAAUGCGUAGAGAUCUGAAGGAAUACCGGUGGCGAAGGCGGCCCCCUGGACAGAUACUGACACUCAGAUGCGAAAGCGUGGGGAGCAAACAGGAUUAGAUACCCUGGUAGUCCACGCCGUAAACGAUGUCUACUUGGAGGUUGUGGCCUUGAGCCGUGGCUUUCGGAGCUAACGCGUUAAGUAGACCGCCUGGGGAGUACGGUCGCAAGAUUAAAACUCAAAUGAAUUGACGGGGGCCCGCACAAGCGGUGGAGCAUGUGGUUUAAUUCGAUGCAACGCGAAGAACCUUACCUACUCUUGACAUCCAGAGAACUUUCCAGAGAUGGAUUGGUGCCUUCGGGAACUCUGAAACAGG